rnacentral:rRNA from 1 species
UACGUAGGGUGCGGGCGUUAAUCGGAAUUACUGGGCGUAAAGCGUGCGUAGGCGGUUCGCUGUGUCCGAUGUGAAAGCCCCGGGCUUAACCUGGGAAUUGCAUUCGAGACUGCAUAGCUAGGAUGCGGAAGAGGGAAGUGGAAUUUCCGGUGUAGCGGUGAAAUGCGUAGAUAUCGGAAGGAACAUCAGUGGCGAAAGCGACUUCCUGGUCCAGCAUCGACGUCAGGCACGAAAGCGUGGGGAGCAAACAGG